rnacentral:misc_RNA from 1 species
GAUGAAGAACGUAGUGAAAUGCGAUAAGUAAUGUGAAUUGCAGAAUUCAGUGAAUCAUCGAAUCUUUGAACGCACCUUGCACCCUUUGGCUAUUCCGAAGGGUAUGCCUGUUUGAGUAUCAUGAACACCUCAACUCUCAUGGUUUGCCAUGAUGAGCUUGGACUUUGGGGGUCUUGCUGGCCUGUGGUCAGCUCCUCUCAAAUGGAUUAGCUUGCCAGUGUUUGGUGGCAUCACAGGUGUGAUAACUAUCUACGCUUGUGGUUUUCCACCAGGUAACCUUCAGCAAUGGGGGUUCGCUGGGGCUCAUAAAUGUCUCUCCUCAGUGAGGACAGCUCUUUGAAAGUUUGAUCUCAAAUCAGGUAGGACUACCCGCUGAACUUAAGCAUAUCAAUAAGCGGAGGA